UACAGAGGGUGCGAGCGUUAAUCGGAAUUACUGGGCGUAAAGCGCACGUAGGUGGCGACGUAAGUCGGGUGUGAAAGCCCCGGGCUCAACCUGGGAAUUGCAUUCGAGACUGCAUUGCUCGAGUACGGAAGAGGAAGGCGGAAUUCCCGGGGUAGCGGUGAAAUGCGUAGAGAUCGGGUGGAACAUCAGUGGCGAAGGCGGCCUUCUGGUCCAGUACUGACAAUCAAGUGCGAAAGAGUGGGGAGCAAACAGG
rnacentral:rRNA from 1 species